rnacentral:rRNA from 1 species
GAUGAACGCUGGCGGCGUGCCUAAUACAUGCAGGUCGAGCGGAUGGAUUAAGAGCUUGCUCUUAUGAAGUUAGCGGCGGACGGGUGAGUAACACGUGGGUAACCUGCCCAUAAGACUGGGAUAACUCCGGGAAACCGGGGCUAAUACCGGAUAACAUUUUGAACCGCAUGGUUCGAAAUUGAAAGGCGGCUUCGGCUGUCACUUAUGGAUGGACCCGCGUCGGCAUUAGCUAGUUGGUGAGGUAACGGCUCACCAAGGCAACGAUGCGUAGCCGACCUGAGAGGGUGAUCGGCCACACUGGGACUGAGACACGGCCCAGACUCCUACGGGAGGCAGCAGUAGGGAAUCUUACGCAAUGGACGAAAGUCUGACGGAGCAACGCCGCGUGAGUGAUGAAGGCUUUCGGGUCGUAAAACUCUGUUGUUAGGGAAGAACAAGUGCUAGUUGAAUAAGCUGGCACCUUGACGGUACCUAACCAGAAAGCCACGGCUAACUACGUGCCAGCCGCCGCGGUAA